rnacentral:rRNA from 1 species
CUGAACCAGCCAAGUAGCGUGAAGGAUGACUGCCCUAUGGGUUGUAAACUUCUUUUAUACGGGAAUAAAGUGAGGCACGUGUGCCUUUUUGUAUGUACCGUAUGAAUAAGGAUUGGCUAACUCCGUGCCAGCAGCCGCGGUAAUACGGAGGAUCCGAGCGUUAUCCGGAUUUAUUGGGUUUAAAGGGAGCGUAGGCGGACGCUUAAGUCAGUUGUGAAAGUUUGCGG